UACGGGGGGGGCAAGCGUUGUUCGGAAUUACUGGGCGUAAAGGGCUUGUAGGCGGCCAACUAAGUCAUACGUGAAAUCCCUCGGCUUAACCGGGGAACUGCGUCUGAUACUGGAUGGCUUGAGUUCGGGAGAGGGAUGCGGAAUUCCAGGUGUAGCGGUGAAAUGCGUAGAUAUCUGGAGGAACACCGGUGGCGAAAGCGACAUCCUGGACCGAUACUGACGCUGAGAAGCGAAAGCCAGGGGAGCAAACGGG
rnacentral:rRNA from 1 species